CCCCCCUGGCAAUGGGCAAAGACACACCUUGUUGGUGGCAGUUUCUCAUGUCAGUCUGGGGCAGAGCAAAUGACAGUUCUUUGUUCACCCUAGUUUGAUGCCUGGCUGGUAGCCAAAGCUAUCUUAUGCCUAGGACUCGGAA
ensembl:snoRNA LOC120093434 small nucleolar RNA SNORA48